rnacentral:rRNA from 1 species
CGUGUAGGCGGUUUAAUAAGUCAGAUGUAAAAGCCCCCGGCUCAACCGGGGAUGGUCAUUUGAAACUGUUAGGCUUGAGUGCGAGAGAGGGUAGUGGAAUUCCCAGUGUAGCGGUGAAAUGCGUAGAUAUUGGGAAGAACACCAGUAGCGAAGGCGGCUACCUGGCUCGCAACUGACGCUAAGGCGCGAAAGCGUAGGGAGCAAACA